CUUCACCUCGUGACAAACGUCAUAGCUCAUUCCGGAAACAUCCUUUCGUGCAGCAAUACCGAAACUACCUUUAACUUCGCCGAAGUGUCUUAACUAACUGUACGGUGUUCUGCUGUGCUGAUCCACAUACCAUUCGGCUCCCUACACAUCGUCAUCGAUUCAUGAUUAUCGCUCAGCGAUCGCUAUCCCUUCUUCAUUGUCAUAUCAUCAUCGUUCGUUACUAUCGUCGUUCCGUUGGGUUAUACACUGUGUAUGUGCGCGGAAAUACCAUACUCCUACCGUAUCCUGGUGUACAAUACAUGUAACUUCACCUCUCAUCUCUCUCAAUCAUCGCUCUCUUCGAUCAACGUUUACAAAUGAUCGAUCAUCUUCUUCUUCACACAAUCAUUCCGCCUACGCAUACGAUACGUUGAGCGCGAGGCUUCCGGAUAGCCUAUCAAACCCCUCCGAGAUCAAAACCAAGCAGUUGCUAAAAUGUAAUAUAACUGUUAGUGGCUUACAGUGGCAUAAUGUGGUGUAUGUGUGUGUGUGUUUUUUUUUUUCAAAUAACGUUAUAAAAGUAAUCUUAACCUACGCGUACUUAAAGCUACCUACAAUCUAAACCUAGUGAAAGAGCCUACCUAAAAUUAGCGAUGAAACCUUUCUAAACCUAGUGAAAAAGCGUACCUAAACCUAAUGAAUUA